GCGGAUGUGGCGAAAUUGGCAGACGCGUUGGUCUUAGGAGCCAAUACGCAAGUGUGCAGGUUCAAAUCCUGUCAUCCGCACCA
rnacentral:tRNA from 1 species